rnacentral:lncRNA from 1 species
GUUAGAAGUAAUUAAUUAACUGUUUUUUGGUUUUUUUUUUCUUUUUUACAGGCCCACAGACAGAAGGGAUUAGCCUUAUCUCAGAUGAGAUUUUGGACUUGGACUUUUGAAUUAAUCCUUCAAUGACCAUAGUUUAAGAAGAGAUAUCUUGAAAACACGGAAAGAGAAAAGUCAAUACAAUAUUUCCUAAUUUUUUAAGAGGUCAGAGAAGGGAGUUACUGUGUGGCCUGGAGCAGGUGAUUCUGACCACCAAGGGAAAAUUGGAGUACUACUCCACAAUGGAGGGUCUGCAGGAUGGACCCGGCAGCUGGUGCCCUGUGUGAGGAACGCUGCAACGGACUGCGACAGAACCCCUCGAAAAACGAAGGUGAAGAGACUGUGCAGUCAUGUGACAGACACAUCAAACCAUACCAUGGCGUGGCUAAGACCCAAGCUGAUAUCAAAAAUAAAGGAAACGACGCUGCAGGACCCGCAGCCCCAGAUGAUGUGGCUUCCUCCGAUGACACAGGCCCCAGACAUUACCUGGGGGAAGCUGAAGAAGACAACUCAGGAGGCUGAGUGAAUCCUUCUCUGGACACAGACACCAUUCACUCCAGAUAAUCUGUUCCUUGCUAUGCUCUCUGUUGUACCUUGCAACUCUCAUAGGGUAUUCACCUUUCUUAUUCUCUCACUUUGCCUGCAACUCAUACCUGCUACAUUCUAUUGGGCCCAUCUUCUAGAUCUGCCUUUCUUCCAACCUGUUACCUUGGCAGACACCCCCUUCCCAUCCUCUAAUAAUGUAACUGCUUAGCUGGGAGGGGUUGACAUGCCCCCAGUGGGGUUCCUUAAUAAUGGCACACAUUGAACUGAGGUGCCAAGUAACACUACAUAUCUCUCCUUGAUUGGAAAAGAAUAAUAGUGACUAUACUAAUGUUUGACUUAUAUUAUUUACUAAUUCUAGGAUGCAAAGCAGGAACACGAGCUGUAACCACUGUGCCUGUCAAACCUGUCACUGCACACAUCUGUACUAUUCAAUCAACAAAACCCGAUGCUAAAAACAGAAAAGGGGGAGACGCGGGAGAUCGGUCAGAGUGGUAGGAGAAGGUAUAGGGAAAGGAACAGACCUUCUGAAAGGCGGGAAGGCUCUGGAUAGCUUCGGGGAUGAAUAAGCUGAAGGCAGCUGUUCUCUUACCCUGAGGCAGAGGGCAAGGGGUAGGUACAAGGAAGUAUAGGGGAAUUUGGCAUAAACAGGCUUGUUUACUUACAUUGUCCAGAAACCGACCUUUGAUCAUCAGGGCAGGAGACUGCUCCCUGAAAGGGGGAAUAAUAAUGUUAAUUACCCACAGAUUGUGUUGGCUCCAGGCUUUCAUUAUUUUGUCUGUACUGAAUAAAAGCAAGCAGCUCCAGCUGUUCGAGACUGCUCACUCUUCAGCCAUUAGUGCUGGGCAUUCCUGUAGCUGCUCUUACACUGCAU